rnacentral:rRNA from 1 species
AACGUAGGACGCAAGCGUUAUCCGGAGUUACUGGGCGUAAAGGGCGGGCAGGCGGUCUGACACGUCGGAUGUGAAAGCGCGCGGCUAAACCGAGCGAGGCCAUUCGAUACGGUGAGACUGGAAGGCAGCAGAGGUAGGCGGAAUUCCGGGUGGAGUGGUGAAAUGCGUAGAGAUCCGGAGGAACACCAGAGGCGAAGGCGGCCUACUGGGCUGCACCUGACGCUGAGCCGCGAAAGCCAGGGGAGCGAACGGG